UACGAAGGGUGCUAGCGUUGUUCGGAAUCACUGGGCGUAAAGCGCGCGUAGGCGGCUUUUCAAGUCAGAGGUGAAAUCCCAAGGCUCAACCUUGGAAUUGCCUUUGAAACUGUAAGGCUGGAGUGUCGGAGGGGAUGGCGGAAUUCCUAAUGUAGAGGUGAAAUUCGUAGAUAUUAGGAGGAACACCGGUGGCGAAGGCGGCCAUCUGGACGACAACUGACGCUGAGGCGCGAAAGCGUGGGGAUCAAACAGG
rnacentral:rRNA from 1 species